AUGUCUAGCAGGUGUGCAUGUCGGAGCCAGAGGCGUGGAUGUCGAUCCGGACCGACGGCUGGCGGAUCCCGUCGGUCCCCGCGGCUGGCGUUGCAACGGCAAGCGGCGGCGUGGCCGGCGAGCUUGAUGAGAAAGGGGAUCCAGGCGGGGAAGAAAAGAGUGAGGAGUGAGGUAGCAGAGGGGGAGGAGAAAGAUCAAGAGACAGCCGGGCAGGAAGCGGGCGCGUGUCCCUUGGAGAUGACGGAGCUGGACUUAUCCAGGAGACCCACUGCUUGGCCGCCAUGUCCUGCCGCACCACCAUCGACAUACGUGCCAUCAACGGCGGCGGUGUUGUCGUGCCUUAUGCUCGCCGAGGAGCCACUCCGCCUCCUGUUGCGCGGUGCGAAGGGUCGCCUUGGCCACUGCCGAAGGCACUGGAGGCACCGUGCCGGCGGCCUUGCCCCUGCCGGUGUUGGCGGAGCAGUCGCUAAGCGACCACUCCUCGCCAUUCUUAGCGAGCUCGCUGUCAACACGGUGGUGGCCCCUGGCGGACGUCUCUGCGGUGGUGACGGUGCGGUCGAGCGCCCACGCCGCAGCGAGAGAGCCGGAGGCACCGCCGUAACCACCGCUUCUCAGGUAGUGGAAGAUGUGGCCACGUACCUUGGAGGAUGUAAUUUGAUUGAGCUUCCCGAGAAGACUGCCAAUGAGAGAAAAUUCCAAGUACGAGAGCGGACAGGCUGCACGCAGCGGCAUCUGAUCGCAGAGAUACAUCAGUUCAUACUUCCGAAUACCCGUGUCCACGUCGCGCAUGUGGGCUCAGCGGGGGGCACACACCUGACGCAAAAGGGACCUUUUGCACAGAGCGUGCAGUGCGGUACCUCGUGGGCCCGGUACUGUCGUACCAAGUUGGAGGCUGUCCUGCGUCUCGCACCGCUUCUCUUUUUCGAUUUGGGGCUGGAGGUCCGUCUGGAUCUGUUCAUGGCGACUCCGGCAGCGACGGCACCGGCGUUGGCCUCUGGUUUGCUCCCCGCGGAGCCGGUACUGCAGAUCGAUGGGGCGGCAAGCGAUUCCGUGGUGCGCGGCGUGCCGUUCGUUUCCGGCACCGCCGGUCCCGCCGUGGCCGACUCUGCCGUAGGCGUAAAGUCGCCGGAGACACCAGCGGUGGAUCAGGUCCCGCCGGCUCGCGGCCUGGUUGGCGACCUGUCUGAUGUCGACCUGUCCGGCGAGUCCUGCACGACGUUGCGUCGGCUGGCGGAGGUGUGGCGUCGGCAGGCGCCGGUGACGGGGCGCGCACCGUCGACUCCUGCAGCGCAGUUCAGUCCUUCAGCCCCAGUGCUCCGGCGGCGGCGAGCACCACUAUCCACGUUGGCUGGAAGCGCAGGGGAACCCCAUGAAUUGCUACAACCAAGUACUAUUGCUCUUGCAGGAGAAGGAUUCUCCGGACGAUUUUUGGUACAUGAUGAUUGUUGGGGUAGGCCAAGGGUACCCCGCGGACCAGAUGAGAGGGCGGCUGUAGUUCGUGUGCCGGCGCUUGAAGCUGCGAUCCGAGGAUUCGCCAAUAGAGGGACUGAUGUGGUUGUCAACCCGUCGAUGGGCACAGUAUUUGACUCGCUGACAGAGGCCUAUGAAUUCUACAAUUUGUAUUCAUGGGAGGGUAAACCAAAGAGGGAGAACAGUUCAUCGUUGAGAAGCAAUUGUGCCGCCAUGAUUCGUCUACACCCGACAGAUGAUGGGGGGUGUAUAUCAAGAGAGAGGGGAGCAGUGCAUAGCCGAAGCCCGCUUAAGGCCUACCUGCGGCCUGACCUAGCCGGCCCAAGAGGCCUGCCCGAUCUCCUCUUAUCCACCCACUCGCUCGACCCCCCUCUCCCUCGUUCCCCUGCUAGCGCCGCCACUCACACACACGCAUCGCACACGAGAGGAGCGCCCGCGCCCGAUCCCCUCAAGCUCGCCACCGGGCCAGGACCUCCUCGCCUGCCUCCUCGUCUACCCGGCGCCAUCACCUCGUCAGCUCCGUCGCCAGGGGAGGAGCCCCUCGACCCGUCCCUUUCGGCCCCGACUCCGGCGAGCGCUGCCCCGUCGACUCUCCUCCACCGCGACGCCUCCCCUCUGCUUCCUCGUCCUCGCCUCGUACCCCGCCACCGCCGGAGCUGCUCCGUCCGCCCCGCGCUGGAGCCGUCGUUCCCAGGCCGCUGCCGUGCCCUCUCGCCUCCUCCUCACCUCCCCAUGCGCCUACACCAGCGACCUCCGCCUCCAUCCGUGCCGGCGAGCAAGCCGAGAGAGAUCAGAAGAGACAGGGAUGAGGGGAAAAUCAGCGACAGAUAG
rnacentral:rRNA from 1 species